rnacentral:lncRNA from 2 species
AUGGCGGAUUCAAAGAAAGAUCAUUUGUGUGCACUACUGAACAAGAAAAAUUCAGAAAACAAGCGAGAACCUAUACAUAUGAAUCUUGCCGGUAAAAAAUGGGAGGAAAAUAGUUCAAGAUCCACAGAAAAGCAGCGGCACCAGAAACUUCCGGAUAUCAGAGGAAAAAAUUGUCUUCCAGAAAGCACUUAUGAGAAAUCCACAGAGAAUAAUUUCCUAGAAUAUUUAGUAGAACAACAGAAAACUCAAGAUCUAUCCCCUGAACAACAAGAUUCCAAAACAAUUCCUAUGGAACCCAUUAUUCUAAGAAGCCAUGAAGAUCCUUCUUCCCACUCUCAAUUUGAGGUAUCUAGACCUCAAUCUGAAACCUAUCUUUUGCCUUAUUCUUAUCCUAUUACAACUAUACUUAUUCCAACUGCCAACAACGAACAGCAAAAGGGCAAUUUUAUCACCACUCCUAAAGAUAAGGUAGCCAAAUCCUUUGAUAUUCCCAACAAUUUUCCUAAUACUAAUGACCAGAUGUCUAAUUCCUUGACAAAAAUCCAAGCGUCAUCUUACGAUAAAUUGACGCUCCAAAAAGAAGUUUCUACCUUUUAUAACAAAAUCGACUCUUCGGUAAACAGAGACCUCGAGAGUUAUAUUACCAGAGUCAUCAAUACCUCUUUCUACAACAUAAUCGAUGAUCCUAAAGGUAUUACCAGAUCAAAAUUUAGAUUGUUCCAUAAUGUUCUCUUCUCCAAGAUCUAUAUCCAACCUAAUCCAAAUAAAACACUUUGUUACCAUUCUCGAACCAAAAACUCCUUUGAAAGAAAAUCUCAGAAUCAAAUCUCGGCUGAAGCCUUCUGCACAAAUAAUGAAAUCCUA